AUAUCUGAUUUUCGAGCCUUGCUUUCUGGUACCUUUAACACCUGUAGCUCCCUGCCUGGCUCAGUUUACUUCUGGGUUCAGCUGCCUGCCAAGACGCCAGGUGACAAUCGGGGCUCUCCAAGGCCGCUCCUGCCAUUGUCUCCAGCUGUGGGGCCCAAGAAACCACACACGUGAGAUGCACAGUCUGAUAUGGCCGGCUCUGCCCCUCUGGAGACCUGAUUGAUAAAUGCUACACGUGUACAUCUCAUUGAGCUCAAGGACAGAGCUUCCCCUCUCCUCACUGUCUGCAGUGCCUGGUCCAGGCAGGACCUGCCAUCAAGUCAAUGCUGAAAAUGUUGGCCACACAAAAACAUCUGCACCGUCGGAAGGAACAGAAGCUCCAGAACAAUGCCUGGGCUUCAAGAUCCAAUGGAACUUUGUCAGUUGAACGCCAGUCUUGAAUCCAGGUCUUCUUGCUUCCAAAUGUGGUCCUCUGCUGUCUCAUCAGCCUCUUGGGGCCUCACGCUGGGCUCCAGUUCGGGGUGUGAGGAGACGCCAAAUGCUUCUCAGAAUGGCCUAUCUGGGAUCUCGCCCAGUGCCUUUCUCCCUCCUCUUGCUAUUUUUCGUGUCUUUUCUCUUCCCCCUCUCCCUGUGUCGGGCGUGUUUACUUGCAGCAGCCAGAAAGACCACCUUCCACCCGCCCUCUCUUCGGUUCAGCUGCACCUCUCUACUCCAAUAAACCGUUUGCAUUCCAUCUGGUGAGCGUUUGCUCUGAAGACAUUUCCUUGUCAAUCUCUCCCGCCACAUUAAAAAUCUGUCAUUACGAUUGCAUCGCC
rnacentral:lncRNA from 1 species